rnacentral:rRNA from 1 species
UACUCCUACGGGAGGCAGAGUGGGGAAUAUUGGACAAUGGGCGCAAGCCUGAUCCAGCCAUGCCGCGUGUGUGAAGAAGGCCUUCGGGUUGUAAAGCACUUUAAGCGGGGAGGAAGGCCUGGCGGCUAAUAUCCGUCGGGAUUGACGUACCCGC